rnacentral:lncRNA from 1 species
UUUAAAUAUUUAUUUUUUAGUUUUAGGUGGACACAAUAUCUUUAUUUUACAUUUGUGUGGUGUUGAGGAUCAAACCCAAGGCCUCGUGCAUGCUAGGCAAGCACUCUACCACUGAGCCACAACCCCAGCCUGAAAAUAUAUUUUUUUAAAUAUUUAUUUUUUGGUGUAGUUGGACACAAUACCUUUAUUAAUUAUUUUUAUGUGGUGCUAAGGAUCGAAUCCCGGUCCUUGCACAUGUUAGGUGAGCACUCUACCUCUAAGCCACAACCCCAGCCCAGAAAAUAUUUUUUAAAAACUGACUGUAUUAAACAUGUACAGACUUUUUUCAAACAAUACAUUAUAAUAACCAUUUACAUAACAUUUACAUUGCAUGAGUUAUAAGUCAUCUAGAGAUGAUUUAGAGUAUAUAAGAGGAGCUGAUAUAGUAGUGCAUGUCUGUGCUUGGUGGGUCUCUUGAGAGCUUUAGGAUAGGGGCUGGUCACCGAGUGGAACCAAUCGUAUGAAUAGAGGGUAGGAAUUUUCAGGGAAAGGAGAGGGCCUGGAGAUUGCAAUGACAAAUGAUUUAAUCAGUCAUAGUACAUAAUGAAACCUCCAUGACAAUCCCUAAGCUGUGGGUCUGGGGAGCUUCCAGGUUGGUGAAUACAUGACAGUGCUGGAAGAAUGGUGUACCCAGAGAGGACAUGGAAGCUCUGUCCCUUGGGGACACCCAGGACAUGUCUGGCAUUUGUCAUGGAGGCGCACACACACACACACACACACAUACGUACAGACAUAUAUCUCAAGAGACCCACCAAGCACAUAGCACUUUCACUGUCUUAAAAAAAAUCUUUGCAUUUCAUUCCUCUCUUCUUCCUAACCUCGGGCAAUUGCUGAUAUUUUUACUGUCUAUUUUUGCUUUUUCUAGAAUGUCAAAGAGUUGAAUCAUGCCAAUAUGUAGCCUUUUCAUAUUGUUUUCUUUCACUUAGUAAUAUGCAUUUAAGUUUCCUCCUGUUCAUGGCUUCAUAGCUUAUUUCUUUCUAGCACUGAACAAUAUUCUGUCAUCUCCAUGCACCACAGUUUAUUUGUCCAUUUAUUUGCUGAAGGACAGCCUCCAAGCUCCUUACAUGUAGAAUC